GUCCUUUUGAUUUUUUAAUAGGUCUGACCUGCCCAGUGAAAGUUUUAACGGCCGCGGUAUAUUGACCGUGCAAAGGUAGCAUAAUCAUUAGUCUUUUAAUAGGAGGCUGGAAUGAAAGGUUUAACGAAAAAUUAUCUGUCUCAAUUAUAAAUUUGAAUUUAUCUUUUAAGUUAAAAGACUUAAAUUUAAUUGAAGGACGAGAAGACCCUAUAGAGCUUUACAUUUUUUUAUAAAAACUUAUUUAGGUUAUAAUUUGAGUUUAUUUAAAAAAUUGUUUUGUUGGGGUGACAAAAAAUAUAAUUUUAACUUUUUUACUUUAUUUUCAUUAAUUUAUGUUUUAUUAGAUCCAUAAUUUUUGAUCAUUAGAUUAAGUUACCUUAGGGAUAACAGCGUAAUCUCCCCCCAGAGUUCUUAUUUACGGGGAGGAUUGCGACCUCGAUGUUGGAUUAAGAUAAUAUUUAGGUGUAGUAGCUUAAUUAAUAGGUCUGUUCGACCUUUAAAUUCUUACAUGAUCUGAGUUCAGACCGG
rnacentral:rRNA from 1 species